rnacentral:misc_RNA from 1 species
UCUCCGUUGGUGAACCAGCGGAGGGAUCAUUAUCGAGUUUAUAACUCCCAAACCCUAUGUGAACUUACCACUUGUUGCUUCGGCGCGCGCUUCGGCGCCGCCGAGGACACUUAAACUCUUUGUUUUUAUAAGCAUUUCUGAGUGGCCGAAAGGCAAAAAACAAAUGAAUCAAAACUUUCAACAACGGAUCUCUUGGUUCUG